rnacentral:rRNA from 1 species
CAAUAGCGUAUAUUAAAGUUGUUGCAGUUAAAAAGCUCGUAGUUGGAUUUCUGGUUGAAGCGACCGGUCGGGCGUUGAUUCGUCUGCACUGGAGUCGGUUUUGGCCAUCCUCUAGGAAAGUGCGUCUGGUAUUAAGUUAUCGGGCGUAUGAUCCUGGUCUUUUGCUGUGAAAAAAUUAGAGUGUUUAAAGCAGGCCUUCGCCUUGAAUACAUUAGCAUGGAAUAAUAAGAUAGGACUUUGGUCUAUUUUGUUGGUUUGCAGACCGAAGUAAUGAUUAAUAGGGAUAGUUGGGGGUAUUUAUAUUCCGAUGUCAGAGGUGAAAUUCUUAGAUUUUCGGAAGAUAAACUUAUGCGAAAGCAUUUACCAAGGAUGUUUUCAUUAA